CAAAAAUUCAGACCUGAUUGAGGGUCUAAUUAAGAGCGUGGACAAUAAAUAGAAGUUUAAAAAAAAAAAAAAAACAGUCAGUAAAGAGAACAAAAAACAGUGAAGUGUUUAUAUGAUCAGAGAACUUACUGGAAGAAUGGAUCCAUAGAAUUGUUUGGAGAGUAAACUGUGAAACCAGGUUGUGUGUAUAUGUGUACGUGUAUGUGUGUGUAUGUGAGAUUAAAUGGCCGUUAUAUGUGCAUAUGAACGUAUUCCAGAAGAGUACAUUCUUACAAUCCAGUAUCUUAUAAAACAACGAGAGAAAACUCGUGUUGAAUUUAGUUGAUUGUAAAUGUCAGUGUCAGUACUGCGGUGAUGCCUGUAAGGUUACAAAUGUCACUUUAAGUUUAUUUAAUUGAAGUGUCUUAGAGCAGUAUCUCUUUGUCUGAACAACCGGUGAUGUAUCAGAAUAACCCUAAUCUACAGGAGAACUAUUACAGGGUGGAUAUGUUCUUCUUUCCACCAGACCUUCCUCUGCCCCUGUGUCCUGUCCAACUGUAAUAGAAAAUCUGUCAUCGGGAAACUUCAACCAAAACUUUUUGUUUGGGAAAGUCACUGGAAGUCCAACUGACCAAAGAGUAAAUCUCAGAGUGAACAUCAAGUCUACUUCCUUAGCUCUGUCCCACUGCCGUGUGCUGUCUGUAAAAGAUCUGACUGGAAAAAGUGUCAUUUCAUAUAUAAAAAGUCUACACACCCUUGUAAAAAUUUAUUUUUUUUUAAUUUAUCCAUCUUUAAUGUCAUAAAGCACCCAACAAACUUCCAGUGAAAAACAAAGAGAAAGGUUUUAGUUUCAGAUAAGAGUUCACAAACUUUGCAUGUCUUGUUUUGGCAAUUUUAUUCUACUAUUCCUUGCAAUUCUUGCAGAUCUAUCAAAUAGCCAUGGGAUCUCAUGUGCCCAGCCCUCUGCAAGUCAUUCUACAAGGUUGGGAGGUUUUUUUUUUUUGUUUUUAAAAAUGUGGCCAUGAUCAGACAGGUCACUAGACUUGACAAAAACUUACAAGCUAUUUUUUUAAUGAAAGAUUGUUAGCUAGUUAUAUCAGAUCCUAAUAGUAGUAAAUUGAACCCUAUAAAAUCUACACCUGAUUACUUCAUCCAGCUUGUAGCCAGUACCAGUACCCAUUGACUAAUGUAAUGGAUUGUUGUGCAGCAAAUCCCAUCAUUGGGGCGUUAUCAAGUUUUGACCAUUUUUGAUAUUCUGAAGCUCAAAUUGCUCACCUCAAACAUUUGUGGUGAUCCUGCACCAACUGAAUAUUAAUAUAACUGGGCAUCAGCCCAUCAACCUCAAAGCCGGGGUGCACUGACCAGUUUGGUCUCCUGUCUGCCAGUGUGUUUGAGAAUGUAAAAACUCUCCUUGGCUCCAGUACUCCGCUCUUAACUCCCAAUGUGUUACUUAAAGUCACCAGAGUUUACUCUAAAACUCAGCUUACCCGUGUGGAUAAUGCAAAUUUUUUAUAUAUAUAUAUAUAUUUAAAAAUUCACUUAAAUUCCAACAGUUCAUAUAGUCAACAGUAUGAUGUGUAAAUAAGGAGAAGUCAGCAAGAACGACGAUACAACUUCACACAUUUCAUCACUUUAUUGUAGGACACACUUAUUUCAGCACUUUAACAUCAGAAUAAAAGGAACAUGUAGUAUUGUAGGGAUUUAGUGCACAGUCAGUACACAGUUUACUAGAAUUAUUCUAACACACCAGAAGGUUCCUGUGCAAAAGUCUACCUGAGUGUUCCAUCAGCAUGUACCUGUCCUGAUUUACCCGUCCUGCUCCUGAAAAACAUUAACAUGUCAUUAAUAUGUGAAUAGGAGACCACGUUUCACUUUUCACCACAGGAACAAACUGCAACUUCUCUACAGUUUAGAGAUUAUAUAAAAUGUUCAUGUUCUCCACAUGUGAGAUCGUCUGAAAGCUGAGACUCUACAGUUUCUCUGUGUUUUAGUCGUGUGUGUGUGUAAGAUCAAAUCCCUUCAUGCUGUAAAGAGAGAAAGAGGACAUGAGUGAACCUGACCAUGCUGAAACUCGCAGGCGAUGCUCACGGCCCCAAAGAGUUAACACACCUUUCAACUGUCCGCGUUCACCUUCACAACGCUGCCAUCCUCACUAGCUUCUGCAUGCCAGCCUAAAGAAGCAAAAAAAAAAAGCAAAACCAUUAAAUACAAACAAUAUCUAGCUUCUUUUCACAACUAGAUUUUCUUCAUCCCAUAAACACAUGUAAAAGCUAAAAUGUGUGUUGUACAGAGCUAAGAGUAAUCUAGUGUUGUGUAAUCUAGCAUCAAGAACAAUCUAGUGUAGACUUCACAUGACCGCUGCAGCCGAACCUCGAUGCUGCACAUCCAGGCCAGUCGGACAGUUAGUGAACUAAUUCUAACCAGCUAGCACGUGAGCUCACAGCAUCAGUACAGAAUACUACUUAUAUACACACAAAAAAACCUGUCUUUAAUAGCGAGAGAAAAACGACGGUAAUCGCAACUGAUCAUUUCAUAUGAAAAGGUAGUGAAUAUUUUUGGCGCAAGUCACCAGCCACGUGGUCCCUCAGCCGGUGAACCAUGUAGCUUUCAGACCUCCGAAGUCUGAAUCGGCGCGUCAACGUUUACUUACCGCUCAAUUCAAUACAGGUUUUAUUUUAAAGGCGUUAUCACACAGGAUUCUAAUUCCCAACAUAACGCGCUAAAACAUUAGCUACUCAGCAUCUAGUUUUACCGCAUGGC
ensembl:lncRNA